GUAUGAAAAGCCAGAAAUCCAGGACCCACCCUGGCCUGCUCCCUUUUUCUUACCUACUGUGUUAAGAGGAUAAGUCAAUUGAGCUUCACUUCUCUAAUUGAAAUCACUGUGCUGAUGGAGUCUGUCUGUGGAAAUGAAAGGUGGCUACCAUAAUCUGUUGGGAGUUGAAUUAAUCCUCUGGGAGUGAGGCUGACCUAAUUACUCAGAAAUACUGGGCUUGCUUUCAUUCUGUGGAAUACAGCCAUGAGAAAGAGGCCAGCAUGCCACUUUCCUAAUCUUUUCUUAAAUUUCCUGAAACUCACCUAACAUGAAACUGAGAAGCCUUUUCAUUUGAAAGUGGUAUUUCUUAUGUUUUUCACCUUUUUGCUUGAAAGUAUUCUUAAACUAAAGAAAGGAGAAACAGAAAAGGUGAAGAAGCCAAGAGGCUGGAGUUUCCUUUUGAAUGGAUAUUCAUCCAUGAAGCUGUUGAUUCUGUUUUUCUGUUCCUCCAGGUGUCUACACUUUUACCUCUGCUUGCCUGAUACAACCACCACCAGUCACCUCACAGAAUAACUCACCCCUUAAGAAUCUGAUCAGGAAUCAGCCUUCCCUGAUCACAAACACUGAGUUUAGAAGUCCCUUCACAGUGUCCCCCGUAACGCUGUGCUACCUCACUGCCUCAUAGUUUAGUGCUGUUUGUGUACAUGCCUAUCUUCGUCCAUGGAUCCAGAACAACUUGUAAAAAUGGCUGCACUUAUCACCUUCAGUAUUCAAUGACUAAACUCUAAUUUUAACAUAUCUGGCAGAAUGAAUCACUUGGGGAUUUCUGCCAACACUACCAAUAUAUUACUCCUAAUUUGUAAUUAUUACUUAGCAUGGAUUAUAGUACCGGCUGUUGGAGAGCCAAUGUGGCAGACCCUAAGUGGAAUAAAAUAUCAGUAGCAGUCUAGGAGCAUAUAUUUAUUGGAAUAG
rnacentral:lncRNA from 1 species